rnacentral:rRNA from 1 species
UAUCUGCAGUCGAGCGACUGAUUAGAAGCUUGCUUCUAUGACGUUAGCGGCGGACGGGUGAGUAACACGUGGGCAACCUGCCUGUAAGACUGGGAUAACUUCGGGAAACCGAAGCUAAUACCGGAUAGGAUCUUCUCCUUCAUGGGAGAUGAUUGAAAGAUGGUUUCGGCUAUCACUUACAGAUGGGCCCGCGGUGCAUUAGCUAGUUGGUGAGGUAACGGCUCACCAAGGCAACGAUGCAUAGCCGACCUGAGAGGGUGAUCGGCCACACUGGGACUGAGACACGGCCCAGACUCCUACGGGAGGCAGCAGUAGGGAAUCUUCCGCAAUGGACGAAAGUCUGACGGAGCAACGCCGCGUGAGUGAUGAAGGCUUUCGGGUCGUAAAACUCUGUUGUUAGGGAAGAACAAGUACAAGAGUAACUGCUUGUACCUUGACGGUACCUAACCAGAAAGCCACGGCUAACUACGUGCCAGCAGCCGCGGUAAUACGUAGGUGGCAAGCGUUAUCCGGAAUUAUUGGGCGUAAAGCGCGCGCAGGCGGUUUCUUAAGUCUGAUGUGAAAGCCCACGGCUCAACCGUGGAGGGUCAUUGGAAACUGGGGAACUUGAGCGCAGAAGAGAAAAGCGGAAUUCCACGUGUAGCGGUGAAAUGCGUAGAGAUGUGGAGGAACACCAGUGGCGAAGGCGGCUUUUUGGUCUGUAACUGACGCUGAGGCGCGAAAGCGUGGGGAGCAAACAGGAUUAGAUACCCUGGUAGUCCACGCCGUAAACGAUGAGUGCUAAGUGUUAGAGGGUUUCCGCCCUUUAGUGCUGCAGCUAACGCAUUAAGCACUCCGCCUGGGGAGUACGGUCGCAAGACUGAAACUCAAAGGAAUUGACGGGGGGCCCGCACAAGCGGUGGAGCAUGUGGUUUUAAUUCGAAGCAACGCGAAGAACCUUACCAGGUCUUGACAUCCUCUGACAACUCUAGAGAUAGAGCGUUCCCCUUCGG